rnacentral:tRNA from 1 species
GCUGGGGACAGAGCUCAGCUGGUAGAGUGCUUGCCUCACAUGUACGAGGCCCUGGGUUCAGUCCCCAGCACCACCA